AGAGUGCUGGGGAGAGAUGUUAUCACUCAAAGACAGCAAUUGGAGUUGCCCUGAGUAUGCCAAUAGAAUGGGAUAAUCUCCUUACAGUGAUCUGAGUAAACCUUUAAGAGUUUUCAAGGGUUCAGGUUCCUGAUGACUACUACAUAAACGAAGUGGUCAGCACACAAUUCCAGUAUUCUAACUUGGUCGCAGGCAUCAAAGCACCAUAGAGUACUAUCUUACUCCAUUUGGGUUGCUAUUCCAAAAAUACCGCACACAGGGUGGCUUAAAAGCUUAAACAACAAACAUUUUUUUCUCUCAGUUCUGCCAACUGAGAAGUCCAAUAUCAAGCCUUGAAAGUGCUUGACACUCUCUCAUUUCCUUUUUAUCUCUUUUUAGAUGUAAGCAUUUCUAAGCAUGUUCCUGACUACCCUAUCCAAAGCAGCACUCUCCAUUCUGUGUGCCCUUCUUUCACUUUGUAGCACUACUUUACAAGAUGUUACACAAAAUUACUUUACAUUAUACUUAUUGUCUAUUUUACAAGUAUGCAAUCUCCCUGAGGGCAAGGACUUUACUUUGUGUACUAUUGUUUCACCAGAGUCAAGAAAAGAGCCUGACAUGAACCAACUGCUCAAUAACUAUUUGUUGCAUGGGUUAAUAAAUGAAAAGGACCUGGAUUAUUUUACUGUCCCACAUGACAUUCAAGUUCAAAUUGCGUGAAAAUUAUCUGUUUCCUGAAGAUUUGAUGAAAUUCCCAUGUGAACCUAUCUGGACCUAGAGCCUUUUUGGGUGGGUAGCCCUUUGAAAUCUUUAAACACUAUUAAAACCUUAAAAGAAAUCUAUCUUCAAUUCUCAAAAUGCUCCAUUAUCCUCGUACAAGUGCAUGUAACACAUGCUUUCUCUUCUUCUUGGGGCAUCAGUCUUUCCUUCUACAUCUGACUAUCAACACCUGUCUCUAGACUGAGCUUGAAUCGUCUCACCUGAGUAGCAUUCCUUGUCUUUGUAAGGCUUAUUGACUCCUUAUGUCCCCAGUACAUCCUACUUAUAUUUCUAUAAUCACUUUUUAUACUUUAUUGGAAUUUUUCUUUACUUUCCUGCUUAUAUCAUUAGGCUGGAGAUGUUUGACGGAAACGUGGUUUAUUUGAAAGAGAAUAAGAUUUGGAGUUAGAAUAGUAUUGAAGUUUGGGCUCUUCCACUUAUUAGGGGGUCUAACAUUAAUCAAUUUCAUUCAUAAAAAUUAUUAAAAACUUGGAAAUAAUGUAAGAAGAUGACUGAAUGUCCUUUCAUUGGCAUACCAUAGCAUCGUCUAACCAGCCAACCUAAGGCUUAUUCAUUUAUCUAGAACAAUGUAUCUGUUUGACUUUAUGAUUUACUAUUUGAUUAGAACCCAAACAUUGUGCAGUUAUAUGUUAAUCUGUAGAUUUCUGUCCAGGAGAAAGAUAAAGCAGAGAUUACAGUUUUAUUGACCUUUAGGAUCUUAACCAUUUUCUAUAUAACCUAACAACCUUGAUCUAACAUUCUUUGGUUGAUGUUGUGUUGUCAAAUGUGCUUUUACUGAUAAACUAUAUAAACCCCUGUUUCCCAAAAAGGGUUUGUGAUUCUUGGAACCACUUUGAUCAUCUCAUUGAUUUCCACAUUACUUAGUUGAAUAAAAUAUUUGAUAGAAGUUUAUUUUGUAUUUUU
ensembl:lncRNA